rnacentral:rRNA from 1 species
GGNGGAACUCUGAUGCAGCGACGCCGCGUGAGCGAUGAAGCCCUUCGGGGUGUAAAGCUCUUUCGACGGGAACGAUAAUGACGGUACCCGAAGAAGAAGCUGCGGCUAACUACGUGCCAGCAGCCGCGGUAAUACGUAGGCAGCGAGCGUUGUUCGGAAUUACUGGGCGUAAAGAGUGUGUAGGUGGUGUUCUAAGUUUGGUGUGAAAUCUCCCGGCUUAACUGGGAGGGUGCGCCGAAAACUGGAGUGCUUGAGUAUGGGAGAGGUAAGCGGAAUUCCUGGUGUAGCGGUGAAAUGCGUAGAUAUCAGGAGGAACACCUGUGGUGUAGACAGCUUACUGGACCAUCACUGACACUGAGACACGAAAGCGUGGGUAGCAAACAGGAUUAGAUACCCUGGUAGUCCACGCCCUAAACGAUGCAUACUUGGUGUGAGCCAUUCAUUUGGUUCGUGCCGGAGCUAACGCGUUAAGUAUGCCGCCUGGGGAGUACGGUCGCAAGGCUGAAACUCAAAGAAAUUGACGGA